GCUGCCGGCAGGCCUAACACAUGCAAGUCGAGCGGAAACGAUCCUAGCUUGCUAGGAGGCGUCGAGCGGCGGACGGGUGAGUAAUGCAUAGGAAUCUGCCCGGUAGUGGGGGAUAACUUGAGGAAACUCAAGCUAAUACCGCAUACGCCCUACGGGGGAAAGCAGGGGCUCUUCGGACCUUGCGCUAUCGGAUGAGCUUAUGUCGGAUUAGCUGGUUGGUGAGGUAACGGCUCACCAAGGCGACGAUCCGUAGCUGGUCUGAGAGGAUGAUCAGCCACAUCGGGACUGAGACACGGCCCGAACUCCUACGGGAGGCAGCAGUGGGGAAUAUUGGACAAUGGGGGCAACCCUGAUCCAGCCAUGCCGCGUGUGUGAAGAAGGCCCUCGGGUUGUAAAGCACUUUCAGCGAGGAAGAAUGCUUGUCGGUUAAUACCCGGCAAGGGAGACAUCACUCGCAGAAGAAGCACCGGCUAACUCCGUGCCAGCAGCCGCGGUAAUACGGAGGGUGCGAGCGUUAAUCGGAAUUACUGGGCGUAAAGCGUGCGUAGGCGGCUUGAUAAGCCGGUUGUGAAAGCCCCGGGCUCAACCUGGGAACGGCAUCCGGAACUGUUAGGCUAGAGUGCAGGAGAGGAAGGUAGAAUUCCCGGUGUAGCGGUGAAAUGCGUAGAGAUCGGGAGGAAUACCAGUGGCGAANGCGGCCUUCUGGACUGACACUGACGCUGAGGUACNAAAGCGUGGGUAGCAAACANGAUUAGAUACCCUGGUAGUCCACGCCGUAAACNAUGUCGACU
rnacentral:rRNA from 1 species